AUCUUUGCGCUUUGUGCAAUGACGCUAGUGAGGUUUCUAACUGAGGCACGAUUGCUGGUUGAAAACUAUUUCCAAACCCCCUCUUCGGCCUGAGCUUAACUUGGGUUGUCAAUAAUUUCUGGAAAGCCUACCCUUUUGAUCUCUGC